UACGAAGGGGGCUAGCGUUGCUCGGAAUGACUGGGCGUAAAGGGCGCGUAGGCGGAUGGCACAGUCAGAUGUGAAAUUCCCGGGCUUAACCUGGGGGCUGGCAUUUGAUACGUGUGAUCUAGAGUGAGGAAAGAGGGUCGUGGAAUUCCCAGUGUAGAGGUGAAAUUCGUAGAUAUUGGGAAGAACACCGGGUGGGCGAAGGCGGCGACCUGGUCCUUGACUGACGCUGGAGGCGCGACAGCGUGGGGAGCAAACAGG
rnacentral:rRNA from 1 species